rnacentral:rRNA from 1 species
AUUGAACGCUGGCGGCAGGCCUAACACAUGCAAGUCGAGCGGCAGCGGGAAGUAGCUUGCUACUCUGCCGGCGAGCGGCGGACGGGUGAGUAAUGUCUGGGAAACUGCCCGAUGGAGGGGGAUAACUACUGGAAACGGUAGCUAAUACCGCAUAACGUCGCAAGACCAAAGAGGGGGACCUUCGGGCCUCUUGCCAUCGGAUGUGCCCAGAUGGGAUUAGCUAGUAGGUGGGGUAACGGCUCACCUAGGCGACGAUCCCUAGCUGGUCUGAGAGGAUGACCAGCCACACUGGAACUGAGACACGGUCCAGACUCCUACGGGAGGCAGCAGUGGGGAAUAUUGCACAAUGGGCGCAAGCCUGAUGCAGCCAUGCCGCGUGUAUGAAGAAGGCCUUCGGGUUGUAAAGUACUUUCAGCGGGGAGGAAGGUGUUGAGGUUAAUAACCUCAGCAAUUGACGUUACCCGCAGAAGAAGCACCGGCUAACUCCGUGUCAGCAGCCGCGGUAA